rnacentral:rRNA from 1 species
CAGUAGCCGCGGUAAUACGAAGGGUGCAAGCGUUAAUCGGAAUUACUGGGCGUAAAGCGUGCGUAGGCGGUUUGUUAAGUCUGCUGUGAAGUCCCCGGGCUCAACCUGGGAAUGGCAGUGGAUACUGGCAAGCUAGAGUGUGUCAGAGGAUGGUGGAAUUCCCGGUGUAGCGGUGAAAUGCGUAGAGAUCGGGAGGAACAUCAGUGGCGAAGGCGGCCAUCUGGGACAACACUGACGCUGAGGCACGAAAGCGUGGGGAGCAAACAGGAUUAGAUACCCGCGUAGUCCCUGUCUCUUAUAC